rnacentral:rRNA from 1 species
GACGAACGCUGGCGGCGUGCCUAAUACAUGCAAGUAGAACGCUGAAGAGAGGAGCUUGCUCUUCUUGGAUGAGUUGCGAACGGGUGAGUAACGCGUAGGUAACCUGCCUUGUAGCGGGGGAUAACUAUUGGAAACGAUAGCUAAUACCGCAUAACAAUGGAUGACACAUGUCAUUUAUUUGAAAGGGGCAAUUGCUCCACUACAAGAUGGACCUGCGUUGUAUUAGCUAGUAGGUGAGGUAAUGGCUCACCUAGGCGACGAUACAUAGCCGACCUGAGAGGGUGAUCGGCCACACUGGGACUGAGACACGGCCCAGACUCCUACGGGAGGCAGCAGUAGGGAAUCUUCGGCAAUGGGGGCAACCCUGACCGAGCAACGCCGCGUGAGUGAAGAAGGUUUUCGGAUCGUAAAGCUCUGUUGUAAGUCAAGAACGGGUGUGAGAGUGGAAAGUUCACACUGUGACGGUAGCUUACCAGAAAGGGACGGCUAACUACGUGCCAGCAGCCGCGGUAAUACGUAGGUCCCGAGCGUUGUCCGGAUUUAUUGGGCGUAAAGCGAGCGCAGGCGGUUUGAUAAGUCUGAAGUUAAAGGCUGUGGCUCAACCAUAGUUCGCUUUGGAAACUGUCAAACUUGAGUGCAGAAGGGGAGAGUGGAAUUCCAUGUGUAGCGGUGAAAUGCGUAGAUAUAUGGAGGAACACCGGUGGCGAAAGCGGCUCUCUGGUCUGUAACUGACGCUGAGGCUCGAAAGCGUGGGGAGCGAACAGGAUUAGAUACCCUGGUAGUCCACGCCGUAAACGAUGAGUGCUAGGUGUUGGAUCCUUUCCGGGAUUCAGUGCCGCAGCUAACGCAUUAAGCACUCCGCCUGGGGAGUACGACCGCAAGGUUGAAACUCAAAGGAAUUGACGGGGGCCCGCACAAGCGGUGGAGCAUGUGGUUUAAUUCGAAGCAACGCGAAGAACCUUACCAGGUCUUGACAUCCCGAUGCUAUUUCUAGAGAUAGAAAGUUACUUCGGUACAUCGGUGACAGGUGGUGCAUGGUUGUCGUCAGCUCGUGUCGUGAGAUGUCGGGUUAAGUCCCGCAACGAGCGCAACCCCUAUUGUUAGUUGCCAUCAUUCAGUUGGGCACUCUAGCGAGACUGCCGGUAAUAAACCGGAGGAAGGUGGGGAUGACGUCAAAUCAUCAUGCCCCUUAUGACCUGGGCUACACACGUGCUACAAUGGUUGGUACAACGAGUUGCGAGUCGGUGACGGCGAGCUAAUCUCUUAAAGCCAAUCUCAGUUCGGAUUGUAGGCUGCAACUCGCCUACAUGAAGUCGGAAUCGCUAGUAAUCGCGGAUCAGCACGCCGCGGUGAAUACGUUCCCGGGCCU